rnacentral:rRNA from 1 species
UACGAAGGGGGCUAGCGUUGCUCGGAAUCACUGGGCGUAAAGGGUGCGUAGGCGGGUCUUUAAGUCAGGGGUGAAAUCCUGGAGCUCAACUCCAGAACUGCCUUUGAUACUGAGGAUCUUGAGUUCGGGAGAGGUGAGUGGAACUGCGAGUGUAGAGGUGAAAUUCGUAGAUAUUCGCAAGAACACCAGUGGCGAAGGCGGCUCACUGGCCCGAUACUGACGCUGAGGCACGAAAGCGUGGGGAGCAAGCAGGAG